rnacentral:lncRNA from 1 species
CAGAUUUCAAUUUAAUAUUUAUUAAUAGACAAAAAUCUGUUCUUAUGAAUACAUUAAUUUAUGGAAAAAAACUUCUGAUUUGAUCAGACAUAACUAUAAUCUAAACAAUACAAUGAAGGUAGUAUAAUAAUAAAUUGGACGCAACAGGAAAUAUACAAAUUAUUUGAAAUAAUGUUAUACAAAAAGUCAUUGAUGCAAUUAUAUUUUGAACUGGUAUAAUCCAAAGCAAGAUGUUAAAGGUGUAAAUAAAACAUUUAUUAUUGUCCUAACAUUCUUGGUUAAGCCUGUUCACAUGCUAUUUCUUAGAGGCGAAAGAAAAGUUGAUCUAAGAUAUAGACUAUGAUAAUUUAGUUUUAAAAUUUCUUCAACCAAGAAGAUUUUGAAAUAUUUGCAGAUGAUAAUCAAACAGCACUUGUUUUUUUAAGUAUAUAAAAUUGAGAAUGGAAAUGGGGAAUGUGCCAAAGAGACAACAACCCGACCAUAGAAAAAAACAACA